AGCUCCAAAAGUAUAUAUUAAGUGUUGCGGGUAAAAAGCUCGUAGUGGGAUUUUGGGCGCAGCGGGCCGGUCCGUCGCAAGGCGUGUACUGGACGUCUUGGCCUUCCCUCCGGUUCUCCGCCGGUGCUCUUGACUGAGUGUCGGCGGCGGCCGGAACGUUUACUUUGAAAAAAUUAGAGUGUUCAAAGCAGGCUCUCGAGCCUGGAUAAUGGUGCAUGGAAUAAUGGAAUAGGACCUCGGUUCUAUUUUGUUGGUUUUCGGAGCGCGAGGUAAUGAUUAAGAGGGACAGACGGGGGCAUUCGUACUGUGCCGUUAGAGGUGAAAUUCUUGGAUCGGCGCAAGACGAACGACUGCGAAAGCAUUUGCCAAGAAUGUUUUCUUUAAUCAAGAGCGAAAGUCAGAGGUUCGAAGACGAUCAGAUACCGUCCUAGUUCUGACUAUAAACGAUGCCAACUAGCGAUCGGGGGGCGUUACAUUGACGACCCCUCCGGCAGCUUACGGGAAACCAAAGUCUUUGGGUUCCGGGGGAAGUAUGGUUGCAAAGCUGAAACUUAAAGGAAUUGACGGAAGGGCACCACCAGGAGUGGAGCCUGCGGCUUAAUUUGACUCAACACGGGAAAUCUCACCCGGCCCGGACACAGUGAGGAUUGACAGAUUGAGAGCUCUUUCUUGAUUCUGUGGGUGGUGGUGCAUGGCCGUUCUUAGUUGGUGGAGCGAUUUGUCUGGUUAAUUCCGAUAACGAACGAGACUCUGGCUUGCUAAAUAGUUACGCGACCAUCCCGGUCGGCGUUUAACUUCUUAGAGGGACAAGUGGCGUUAGCCACACGAGAUUGAGAAUCCACCACAUG
rnacentral:ncRNA from 1 species